CGAAGACAACUAGGAUGUUGGCUCAGAAGCAGCCAUACAUUCAAAGAGUGCGUAAUAGCUCACUAGUCGAGAGGUCCUGCGCCGAAAAUGUCCGGGGCUGAAACACGACACCGAAGCUUAGGACUCAUACUUCGUAUGAGUGGUAGAGGAGCAUUGUUAGCGCAGCGAAGCUGUACCGAUAAGGAGCAGUGGAGUGCUAAGAAGAGAGAAUGCCGGAAUGAGUAGCGAGAGGAAGGUGAGAAUCCUUCCGGCCGAAUAUCCAAGGUUUCCAGAGUAAAGCUGAUCUGCUCUGGGUAAGUCGGGGCCUAAGGCGAGGUCGAAAGACGUAGUCGAUGGAUAACAGGUGGAGAUUCCUGUACUAUGUGUACCCAGAACUGUGGGGACGCAUGUGGAGAGCAUGAGCCGGGAAAGAGAAAACCGGUACAAGCGAGGUAGGAGUAAGGACAGCAAAUCUUCCUUACAAUCCGAAGACGUAAUGUGGACCGAACCAAAGUAGGGAAGCGUGUGAGCCAUGUGCCAAGAAAAGCCGCUAUUGUGAUACACAUACCCGUACCGUAAACCGACACAGGUGGAUGAGGAGAGAAUCCUAAGGCCGACGGAAGAAGCAUUGUUAAGGAACUCGGCAAAAUGACCCCGUAACUUCGGGAGAAGGGGUGCUCCAGAGAUGGAGCCGCAGAGAACUGGCCCAAGCAACUGUUUAGCAAAAACACAGGUCUAUGCAAAACCGAAAGGUGAGGUAUAUGGGCUGACGCCUGCCCGGUGCUGGAAGGUUAAGAGGAGAUGUUAGCCGCAAGGUGAAGCAUUGAAUUUAAGCCCCAGUAAACGGCGGCCGUAACUAUAACGGUCCUAAGGUAGCGAAAUUCCUUGUCGGGUAAGUUCCGACCCGCACGAAAGGCGUAAUGAUUUGGGCACUGUCUCGACAAUGCACCCGGUGAAAUUGAAAUACCAGUGAAGAUGCUGGUUACCUGCGCCAGGACGGAAAGACCCCAUGGAGCUUUACUCUAGCUUGAUACUGGGGUUCGGUAUUGCAUGUACAGGAUAGGUGGGAGACUGAGAAGAUGUGUCGCCAGAUGCAUCAGAGUCGAUGUUGGGAUACCACCCCUGCAGUACUGGGCUUCUAACCUGCAGCCGUGACCCGGCUGGGGGACAAUGUCUGGUGGGGAGUUUGACUGGGGCGGUCGCCUCCGAAAGAGUAUCGGAGGCGCUCAAAGGUUCCCUCAGAAUGGUUGGAAACCAUUCGAAGAGCGCAAAGGCAGAAGGGAGCUUGACUGCGACACCGACGGGUGGAGCAGGUACGAAAG
rnacentral:rRNA from 1 species